rnacentral:rRNA from 1 species
GAAAGCUGGGAGUAUCUAAAGUCGGUAGCCGCAAGGCGCCGCCUAGGGUAAACCGGUGAGUUGGGCU